rnacentral:lncRNA from 1 species
CGGGAAAAUGACUGUAGUUGGUGAAAUUGAUGUACCGGUUAUCGUAAUGAAGUUAAGGAAGCUAUGUAACACAGAGAUUGUUUCGGUUGAAGUUGUUAAACCACCUGAGAAAAAACCCGAGGAGAAAAAGCCCGAGGAGAAAAAACCGGAAGCUAAACCAGCUGCUCCAGCUAAACCGGAAAUUGUUGCAUGGCCGGUUCAGAUGAGCAACCCAUACCAAUACAAUCCUGCAUAUGCAAAUUAUUGCUAUCAACCAUACGGGACUUCUAGAGUUGCUGUAGACGAACCUGGUUGUGUGAUUAUGUAGUUGUUUUCGAGAGUCAUAAUCGAAUAAUGUUAGAAGUUAUUUCAACACUUAGUUUUGAUGGAAGAGUGUAAAAUUUUUUGGGCUAUUACUUUGUAAUAUACAUUUCUUGUAUGAGCUCAUUAUAUCUAUGUAUGAUAAAUUUGAUUUUUAUACACGUUGUUAAAUUGUACUUUUAAUUCUCUAAUAACACACAACCUGUCCUUUUUAUUGCGGUUUCAAUCACGUAGACUUUUCUCUUAUGUUGAAUAGAUUCUCUAUUCAUUGUCUCUAGCUAUAGUUUAGUGUUUAUUAAUAUAUUGAGAGGGAUUUUGGUUGAAUCAAUGGAUACAAAUAUAGACACACACACAUAUAGUAAAUCAAAGUCGCUCUCAACUUGGACUUGAACAUCAAAGAACUAAGAUCGUUUACGUAAUACAAUUCCAUUGUCCAAAAAUAAAAAUAGUAUUGAACAAUUAGAGAUUGAGAUAUACAUGAGAUCAUGGAGAGAGUCAAAAUUUUGAAAGUCUCCUUUUAAUAAUAAAAUAAAUAAUAGAAGACCCCCCACAUGUUUAUUAUUUUUGGGCAAACUGAUUUUAUAAAAGGAAAGAUGAACGAUUACACUUCCGAAAGGAGAAAGAGUUUGUUGCAAACAAGACAGCUUCAGCUUAAAAGUUUUCUAUUACAUUAUCCAACCUAGGGAGAAAAUGAAAUGAGACAGAAGAAAGUUCCACACAGAAGCAAGAAAUGUCAUAAAUGAUCGCUUUCCGCUUUUUGGAGCAUGAUUUUGGGUUGAGGAGGGAGACGAGGACUUGGGAAUCCGAAUAGAGCUUAACUCACAAAUUUGAGGAAAUCUGAAAACAGAGUAGUAUGUUUCUUUGGGGCUGUUCUAAACUGACAAAUGCUUCUGUUCCAACUAAAUUGGCCUUGGUUCAUUAGCUCUGGCCUAGGUACCGCUUGAGCUAAUUCAUUACCUGAUCUUCUUGAGUAUAUUUCCUAUCUUUUCAAUAGCCAGAUUAGAGAUCUUGUAAAUAAUAAGUAUCCUUGUGUAGAUAUCACCAAUAGAGUCCUGAUGCUGAGGUAAGAUGUUUUGAAUAGCGAGGGAGUUCCACUAAUUUGAGCUUGGGAGCUGAAGCUCCUUGACCAACAUCGAAGCAGUGGGCCAACUGGGAUGAGAGGGUGGUGUAAGGAUACCCACGGGUCCUGCCAAAUCCUUACUUUACUCCCUUCUCCAAUUGACCAUCCUUAACCUUUUUGGAGGAGAUCACGUCCUAAGAAAAUCCACGCCAUCCAUGCGAGGUCGAUGAUGGGGAGAAGCAUUCCAAAAAAGAUUUUGCAUAACAGUAUUUGCCUUAAAAAAAUUUGCUAAGAGAUAACGUCAUUAUUGUUCAAAGAUGUUGGUUAUGGCCAAAUAACAUUUCAGACUAUCCCAAAAAAAAAACAUUUCAGACUAGACUUACAAAAAAAUAUAGUAUCAUCUGCAAAGAGGAGGUGGUUGAUGUUGAGGGAAAAAAAGAGGUAGCUCGAGCUACUUUAAUUUUGGGAAAGAGACCUUUGGCUUGCGAUUUGAGACAUAGUCCCGAUAGCACCUCUGUGCAAAAGAUAAAAAGAUUCAGUGAAAGCGGAUCCCGUUGGCGAAGGCCUCGAAAGGAGAUGACUUGUUUUUUUGGUGAUUCUCUGAUGAGGAACUUGUAAGAAACAGUUUUCACGCAUUCCAGUACCCAUGAUGUCCAUUUAUUGUGAAGCCUAAUCUCUCUGGCUAAAACCGCUUAAAGAAAACUUCACUCGAUUUUAUGAGAAGUUUUGCUCAUGUCCGUUUUGACGGCCAUAGAGCAAUAUUUCUUUGGCUUCUGAGGUUCUGAAAUAUUUUGUGAGUGAUGAAGCAAAGGCUCAUUGGUGAGAUGAGCAGCAGUAGAAUCUGCUCGAGCCUCUUUGUGAAGAUUUUGGAAAUAAUUUUGUAGUGCACAUUGCAUAAAGCAAUAUCAUCGCUUUGGUUUCAAUGGGGGUGAUAGUCUCCACUUUCCAUGGAGAAAUUGAUUUCGAUUUAAACUUUGCUUUUCUUGUGAUUCCUCAACUUAAUUUCUCAAGAGCACACUAUAGGGAACUUGCUUGGUAAAGUUCUUAUGACCCGAACAAGUCAAUAAGGAGGUCAAUAAAAAAUCAACCUUUUCAUACUCCUAGUCGUACACGCGGGAUCCUGAAUAGUGAAUAAUACUACUUGCUACUGUUAUAUAUAUUGAAAUUCAUUAUUUUUCAACCAAAUCUUUUAAAAAUACUAGGAAAAAAACAAACAAAAUUAAUAAAGAAUGACCACUUUAACAUUUUUUGCGGUCGUAACAGUGCUAUUAUAUUAUUUUUUAAAGCAAUAAAAUUUUAUAGGUAAUAUCAUUAAAUUCUUCUAUAUAAACGGCAUUUGAACUUGCUACUAUCAUCAAGAAGCUUCAAUAUCUUUUCAAGAUCGUCUCUCCUAUCCUCUCUCCCACUCUAUCUCUCAAAACAUAUCAAAAAUUUCUGAAGCUUUUCUUUAGUUUUCUUGAGCCAUGUCUCCAAUGGUAAGCCCUUAUCUUCAUUUCUAUCUCUCUUUAUAAGAAUGAUGAGUUGAUUAAACUAUGCAUAGUUAUGUAUAAUAAGAUUGGAACUAUAUAUACUGAUCUCUCUCUGGUUUGAAUUUGAAAUGACAGAAAACUGUGUUGCAACUGAGUGUUCUCGAGGAAAGAAUCAGGAAGAAAGCUUUUGUCACUGUUUCUAGAUGUCAAGGUAUGUUCUUUUAUAAAUUACAUUUUCAAGAUUUUGCAAUAUGAUCUUGUUCUUCUGGAUAUAUAUAAACAUUUUUAUUCAUGAUAUUUCUUAUUUGUUAAUAAUAGGUGUUACUUCUAUAGCAUUUGAUAAAACCGGGAAAAUGACGGUGGUUGGUGAAAUUGAUGCACCGGUUAUCGUAAUGAAGCUAAGGAAGCUAUGUAACACAGAGAUUGUUUCGGUUGAAGUUGUCAAACCACCAGAGAAAAAGCCCGAGGAGAAAAAACCAGAAGCUAAACCGGAAAUUGUUGCAUGGCCGGUUCAGAUGAGCAACGCUUACCAAUACAAUCCUGCCUAUGCAAAUUGUUACUAUCAACCAUACGAGACUUCUAGAGUUGUUGUAGACGAACCUGGUUGUGUAAUUAUGUAAAUUUUUUCUAGAGUUAUUUCUAAAUAAUUUUUUUUUUAAAGUUAUCCAACACUUAGUUUUGAUGGAAGAGUACUAGUGUAGUUUUUUAAUUUUUUUUUUGCGGUUACUACUACUUGUAAUAUCCAUUUCUCGUAUACGAAUUUUUAUAUCAAUGUAUGAUAAAAAUUGAUCAGGUAAUAACAAUAAAGUUUUUUAAUGGCGGUUUCAAUAAUGACUUUUCUUUUAUGUUGAAUUAAUUCUCUAUUCAUUUUCUCUAGCUAUAGUUGAGUGUUUUUUUUACUAAUAUAUGUACAUAUUGGGAGGGAUUUUGGUUGAAUCAAUGGAUACAAAUAUAGAUAGACACAGAUACAUAUAGUUAAGUCGCUCUCAACUCGAAUAUGAACAUCAAAGAACUAAGAUCAUUCACGUAAUACACAAUUCCAUUGUCCAAAAAUUAAAACUGUAUUGAACAAUUAGAGAUUGAGAGAGUCAAGAUUCGAAAGUCUCCUUUUAAUAAAGAAAUAAAACUAAACUAGAAGAUCCCCACAUGUCUAUGUCGAUGGAUCCACACAUGGGACAUAGCAUUGGAGGCUUUCGAGGAUAGUUCCAUUCUUGACUCUGAGCUUAUAUAUCCAAGUCUUUUUCUUACCAUUUCGCAAAUAUAGUAAUAUAAAUCACAAAACAAAUAAAUAAUCAAAAACCAAAAUCAAAAUAUAUAUGAAUUGAGUUGGUUUUGAAACCUAACAAAAAUCUUGUGUAAUUAAUAAUAUCCAUGUUUUUUUGAAUGUAUUAUUAAAUACAAAUUAAAUUAGAUUUUGGGGUAUUCUUUUAUUUUCUUCUUUUGGUCAACGGGUGAUUCUAUUAAUAUUCUUAUUUUAUAAACUCAAGAUCUUGACAGCAUUUUGAGGAGAAAAUUUAUUCUUAAGCUAGUAGAUUAUUUGGAGACUACAAGAAUAUUUUUUUAUACUCAGUAGAAGAACCUAAACAGAGAAAAUGUCUUUUUAACACUUUCAAAGAGACAAAAGAAUUUAUUCUUGAUUAGGAAUAAAUUAAGCAAUAUGCAAAGAUUUGUUUAAUCAGAAUUACAAGAUAAUCAAAAUUUGACAUGACACUAACUUAGUUUCACUAGCUAGUAGCUACUAAUCUAUUCAUAAUGCAGAGUUAACUUCAUACAAAUUGUGUUUGCUCCCUGUGAUCAUUAACAUGUACACCAUGAAAUCAGAUAAGUACUCAAGAAUUUUAAGAUCUUAAUUUCUUUUUUUCCAUAAAGCAGGAAGUAUAGCUUUGACUUGCGCUUUGAGACAUAGUCCUGAUAGCAUCUCCGUGCAAAGAAGAAAACAAAUAAUGUAAGAGCAUAUCCCUUUGGUGAAAGAUUCGAGAGAGGAUAAGGUGUCCUUUUGGUAAUUCACUGAUGAGGAACUUGUAAGAGACAAUUUUCACAUGUUCCAAUACCCACGAUAUCCACUUAUUGUUAAAGCCUAGUCUUUCUAAAAUCGUUUAGAGAAAAUUUCACUCGACAAUGUCAUAAACUUUGCUCAUAUCCGUCUUGACAACUAGUCAGCUAUCAAACAAUAUUUUUUCGCUUUUGAGGUUCUAAAAAGUGAAAAAUCUUGUGGGUGAUUUUAACAUUGUCCGAGAUGGCAUGGUUUAGAACAAAGGCUAAUUGGUGAAGAGAGAUGAGCAAUGGUAGAAUCGGAUGGAGCAUUUUUGUGAGAAUUUUUGCAAUAAUCUUGUAGUGUUUGGUGAAAGCAUGUUGCAAAAGGCGAUAGAGAGAUAGUCUCCACUUCCUUGGAGAGAAUGAUUUCGAUUUCAGCUUUCGUUUUGAUGUGUAAUUCAUCAACUUAAUUAUUUUCUCCAAGAGCACACUAUAGGGAACUUGCUUGAUAAAUGAUAAGUUCUUAUGACUCGAACAAGUCAAUGAAGAGGUCAAUAAAUUUCAACGUUCUCCUAGUCGUACACGCGGAGUCCUGAAUAGUGAAUACUACGUCCUUUCGUUAUAUUAAAAUUAUAUAGUUUCAAUCAAAUCCUUUAAAAAUACUAGGAAAAAAACAAACAAAAUUAAUGAAGAAUGCGACUGCUUUAACCUUUUUUGCGGUGGUUGCCAAAGCUUUUGAUAUAUUUUCUUUAAAAUGCAAAAAACUUUUAUAGGUUAUAUAUUAUUAAAAAUUUAAUAUAAUACCACUAGUAAAUGCCUAUGCAAUUUCUUCUAUAUAAAGGCCAUUUGGAUAUGCUAUUGUCAUCAAGAAGCUUCGAUAUCUUACAAAGCUCAUCUCUCCUAGCUCUCCUCUCAUUCUCUCUGUCUCUCUCUCUCUCAAAGAUAACUGAAAAUUUCUGAAGCUUUUCUUUAGUUUUCUUGAGCAAUGUCUACCAUGGUACGCCCUUAUCUUCAUUUCUAUCUCUCGUUAUAAUAAUCAUGAGUUGAUUACAUAGUAUAUAGUUAUGUAUAAUUAGAUUGGAACUAUAUAUAUAUACUGAUCUCUCUCUGGUUUGAAUUUGAAAUGACAGAAAACUGUGUUGCAACUGAGUGUUCUCGAGGAAAGAAUCAGAAAGAAAGCUUUUGUCACUGUUUCUAGAUGUCAAGGUAUGUUCUUUUAUAAAUUACAUUUUCAAGAUUUAGUAAUAUGAUCUUGUUCUUCUAGAUAUAUAUAAACAUUUUUAUUCAUGAUAUUUCUUAUUUGUUAUAUAGGUGUUGCUUCGAUAGCAUUUGAUAAAACCGGGAAAAUGACGGUAGUUGGUGAAAUUGAUGCACCGGUUAUCGUAAUGAAGCUAAGGAAGCUCUGUAACACUGAGAUUGUUUCGGUUGAAGUUGUUAAACCACCUGAGAAAAAACCCGAAGAGAAAAAACCGGAAGCUAAACCAGCUGCUCCAGCUAAACCGGAAAUUGUUGCAUGGCCAGUUCAGAUGAGCAACCCUU